rnacentral:rRNA from 1 species
UACGUAGGCAGCAAGCGUUGUUCGGAAUCACUGGGCGUAAAGGGCGCGUAGGCGGCCAUUCAAGUCGGGGGUGAAAGCCUGUGGCUCAACCACAGAAUUGCCUUCGAUACUGUUUGGCUUGAGUAUGGUAGAGGUUGGUGGAACUGCGAGUGUAGAGGUGAAAUUCGUAGAUAUUCGCAAGAACACCGGUGGCGAAGGCGGCCAACUGGACCAUUACUGGACGCUGAGGCGCGAAAGCGUGGGGAGCAAACAGG